GACGAACGCUGGCGGCGUGCUUAACACAUGCAAGUCGAACGGAAAGGCCCUGCUUUUGUGGGGUGCUCGAGUGGCGAACGGGUGAGUAACACGUGAGUAACCUGCCCUUGACUUCGGGAUAACUUCAGGAAACUGGGGCUAAUACCGGAUAGGAGCUCCUGCUGCAUGGUGGGGGUUGGAAAGUUUCGGCGGUUGGGGAUGGACUCGCGGCUUAUCAGCUUGUUGGUGGGGUAGUGGCUUACCAAGUCUUUGACGGGUAGCCGGCCUGGGAGGGUGGCCGGCCACAUUGGGACUGAGAUACGGCCCAGACUCCAACGGGAGGCAGCAGUGGGGAAUAUUGCACAAUGGGCGGAAGCCUGAUACAGCGACGCCGCGUGCGGAAUGACGGCCUUCGGGUUGUGAACCGCUUUCGCCUGUGACGAAGCGGGAGUGACGGUAAUGGGUAAAGAAGCACCGGCUAACUACGUG
rnacentral:rRNA from 1 species